GAACACCCCCCGGGGAGGCAAUUGGGAGUCCCCACAGAUGGGCCAUUGCCUCCGGACCCCUGGAAAAGGAGGCAGAGGGGACAAACGUCAGGGAGGUGACCCAUGCAGAGGACAGGCCCCAUCCUUCCCCCAGCAAAGGAACAUUCAGGAAGGGUCUGUUAGGAGAACUCACAGAAGGAGGCAGCACACACGAAAACUCCUACCACCGUAAGCAUCGAGCAAGUACUUUAUGAAGCUGCCUCGCCAAGAACCACUUCACUCCAGGAGAAAGCCUCCUGGUUACCAUGACUCAGAGCGAUCCGCAAAAUAAUUCACCAAAUUAGAGUUCGCCGGGUGUAAGUUUGUAAAUCUGCUCCCCCUGCCCGCCCCCCAUUACGUUGAUUAUAUCUUUCAUCCCCAAGAAUGAAGCCAAGAGCCUCCACCCCCCCGCCCCUCCUCCCCUCCCCCUGUAAUCCUCACCCCUCAUUUCUCAGCACCCUGCCACCCCUAAGGCAGUGGCGUGAUCCCCGCGAAGCUUCCAGGGAGUUCAUUAAAACCCGCCACCCUCUCCCUUGCCCACCGGGCACUCCCAGCAGCCCCUGGGGCCAUGGUGGUGGCAGAGCAAGCCAGUCACUCAGGAGGGCCCCCCCCCCCCCCCGCACCAGGACAGGGACCCCCGCACAAAUGAGAGGAGCCAGCAAACAGUUAAUGGUUUAAUCCUUUACAGAAAAAGUCAAGGCAGACUUGUGAUUCUUGAUGUUAAUGAAGGUGUCACACAUUGUCUAGAGAAAGUUGUGCCUGGCAAUCUUCCCUUUUUCGGAUGCCUACCCCAGUGACAUUUCAUCUCACAUCCACCUUAAUGAAAUGCAUAAUUAACAUAUUCUAAUUGUGCUGAGCGCUGCGAUGAUUUUGACAGAACUCACUUUCCAUGUCUAAUUUGAUGCUAAUUUAAUCUGUUCCUCUCCCGCUGACAUGACCUUUCUUGAUUGAGUUUCACUGAGGAAAUUUUUUGAUGGAUUGAUUUAUCAGCAUUGCAGAGACAACAAAGGCUCGAGGUGCAUGACAGGAAAUAGGAAGGGAAGGGCCCUGGAAGCCAGCGCGCUCUGAACUUGCCGGCUGGAAUGUCCUCUUUCCAGAGACGGCUUGUCUGAUCUACUGAUGGAAUUUGAGAAAUGUGACAUCCGGGUGUGGGUUUGAUCUCCCCGAUAGAGACAGUAAAUAUCUUAUUGUGGUUGUGAAGCUUUGCAUGGAAAACUCCUCUAGGGCUGGUGGAAGGAAGCUCAGAAUCCUCCUGGUGACAAAGGGCCUGGCCUGGCCUGGCGGGGGAAGGCCACUCCCCGCCUGGGAUCUCAAGGAGAAUUUGGUCCUUGGCUUCCACCAGAAGGCACUGGGCCGCAGGAAAGCAUCUGUUUUUGUUACAACGGAGGAACAUUGCCAGGACGUGGGUCAGACUUGCAGGAGAGGCACACCUUGCUCUGGAGGGAGCCUCUGUGCGCUCCCCCCUAGCGUACCUCCCCUCUGCUGCAGGGGAUCUGAAGGCGAGAACCAGGAUACCUCUCUGUCCCAUUCCGGAUCUAGAGGGGCUAGGUCCCACAGGGGGGCCCGUUAGCAGAUUGCCAAGACAGGAUCCUAAAAGCCCUGGUCUGGGGUUUCUGUCUCCUGUAAAGACUCCACCUCAUUUUCCCUAGUGCUUCUCUUAGAAGAGGAUGUCCUGCAGGUGUCGGUGGUAAAUAGAUGUUUUCUUCGGAGCAGUCCCCGAGGAGGAUGUAACAUUAUUUUUUCCCCCAACAUGGUUGCCUCGACUGCAAAGGUUUUUGCAAAAUUUCUUCAGGAGCUGCCUGAUGAGCCCCACAAGGAUAGCAAGAUAACGAGAUUAUAAUCAUUAUAAUUACACUUCAUCAUAGAUCAAAAGCCGUUUAACUCAGCAAAAUGACCUGGCCUGCUUCACUAUCCUUUAUUCUAAGUGACUUCUGGCUUUGCUCAAAGACUUGAUCCCUCUGCCGAGCCGGACGGGCCAGUGCGUGUAGGUGUAGCAGGUACAGUGGAUGGGGGACUCAGGGGUC
rnacentral:lncRNA from 1 species